rnacentral:rRNA from 1 species
AGCAGUAGGGAUCUUCCGCAAUGGGCGAAAGCCUGACGGAGCAACGCCGCGUGAGUGAUGAAGGUCUUCGGAUCGUAAAACUCUGUUAUUAGGGAAGAACAAAUGUGUAAGUAACUAUGCACGUCUUGACGGUACCUAAUCAGAAAGCCACGGCUAACUACGUGCCAGCAGCCGCGGUAAUACGUAGGUGGCAAGCGUUAUCCGGAAUUAUUGGGCGUAAAGCGCGCGUAGGCGGUUUUUUAAGUCUGAUGUGAAAGCCCACGGCUCAACCGUGGAGGGUCAUUGGAAACUGGAAAACUUGAGUGCAGAAGAGGAAAGUGGAAUUCCAUGUGUAGCGGUGAAAUGCGCAGAGAUAUGGAGGAACACCAGUGGCGAAGGCGACUUUCUGGUCUGUAACUGACGCUGAUGUGCGAAAGCGUGGGGAUCAAACAGGAUUAGAUACCCUGGUAGUCCACGCCGUAAACGAUGAGUGCUAAGUGUUAGGGGGUUUCCGCCCCUUAGUGCUGCAGCUAACGCAUUAAGCACUCCGCCUGGGGAGUACGACCGCAAGGUUGAAACUCAAAGGAAUUGACGGGGGCCCCCCC